rnacentral:rRNA from 1 species
UACGGGGGGGGCAAGCGUUGUUCGGAAUUACUGGGCGUAAAGGGUUCGUAGGUGGCCAACUAAGUCGGACGUGAAAUCCCCAGGCUCAACUUGGGAACUGCGUCCGAUACUGGAUGGCUUGAAUUCGGGAGAGGGAUGCAGAAUUCCAGGUGUAGCGGUGAAAUGCGUAGAUAUCUGGAGGAAUACCGGUGGCGAAGGCGGCAUCCUGGACCGAGAUUGACACUGAUGAGCGAAAGCCAGGGGAGCAAACGGG